rnacentral:rRNA from 1 species
UACGUAGGUGGCAAGCGUUGUCCGGAUUUAUUGGGUUUAAAGGGUGCGUAGGCGGGCUAUUAAGUCAGUGGUGAAAGCCCCAAGCUUAACUUGGGAACUGCCAUUGAUACUGAUGGUCUUGAGUACAUUUGAGGUGGGCGGAAUGUGUCAUGUAGCGGUGAAAUGCUUAGAUAUGACACAGAACACCGAUUGCGAAGGCAGCUCACUAAACUGUAACUGACGCUGAGGCAUGAAAGCGUGGGGAGCAAACAGG